rnacentral:lncRNA from 10 species
UGCAGGGGAGGCAGACGUGGCUUCUGUCCUAGGUUCAGGCCCCUCUGGAGAUGGUGACGUGGACAGGCCCCUCCCCUGCCUGGGCCUCAGUUUCUCCAAGUAUAAAGGAGAGAGGCCUGUGGGUGGGAAAGUUCCUUUCAGCUCUGACCUCCUGGGAGAGGAGAACUCCCAGGGAAGCCUCCCAGGACCCGAUUCCGCAGGGGCCUGUCCUGUCCCACCUGCAGCAGUGACGGUGACCUGGGGCAGGGGAGGGGAGCAGGGCUGUGGUUCAGGACGGUCAGGCUCUUUCCCUGCAUCUCUGGGGCUCAGCUCUGGUGCAGGGAACAAGGGCUGCGGGUCAGACUCCCGGGUUCCCUUCCCAGCUCUGCCGCUUCCUGGCUGGGGGUCCUGGGGCAGGCGAUUCCCCUCUCUGAGCCUCAGUUUGUGCAUCUGUGAAAUGGGUUGUGGGGGCGGCAAUUCCAUGUUGCACAACUGCUUGUAAGGGUUGGAGGUCUUGAAGGAAAGACCUGGCACGCGCCUGCACACAGUAGGUGCUCACGUCAAUGACGUCAUUCCCACUCCUGUUAUCAUGCUCAAGGUCUGGGAAGAUACCUGGAGGCUUUGAUUGGGGUCUCGGUGGCCUUCGUCCUGCUGCUCUUCCUCCUCCUCUUCCUCGUCCUCCGACGUCAACGUCAGAGCAAACACAAGAUAUCGGACCAGAGAAAGACUGAUUUCCAGCGUCCUGCAGGGGCUGCGGAGCCAGAGCCCAAGGACAGGGGCCUGCUGAGGAGGUCCAGCGCAGCUGCUGACGUCCAGGAAGAAAACCUCUAUGCUGCCGUGAAGGACACACAGCCUGAGGACGGGGUGGAGCUGGACAGUCAGCAGAGCCCACACGAUGAAGACCCCCAGGCAGUGACGUACGCCCGGGUGAAACACUCCGGACCUAGGAGAGAAAUGACCUCCCCUCCCUCCCCACUGUCCGAGGAAUUCCUGGACACAAAGGACACACAGGUGGAAGAGGACAGGCAGAUGGACACUCAGGCUGGUCCUUUCCUCU